rnacentral:tRNA from 1 species
GGCCUGCUAGCUCAGUCAGUUGAGCGUGGCGCUAACAAUGUCAAGGUCGUGGGUACGAUUCCCAUUUGGUCCC